rnacentral:misc_RNA from 1 species
UCCGGCUUGACGCCGGCAGUCCCCCGAGAGUCCUCAGCAUGACCUGUUAGUAACACGGGGCAAGGGUUGCGCUCGUUGCGGGACUUAACCCAACAUCUCACGACACGAGCUGACGACAACCAUGCACCACCUGUGAACCGGCCCCAAAGGGGAAACCACAUUUCUGCGGCGGUCCGGUCCAUGUCAAGCCUUGGUAAGGUUCUUCGCGUUGCAUCGAAUUAAACCACACGCUCCGCUGCUUGUGCGGGCCCCCGUCAAUUCCUUCGAGUUUUAGCCUUGCGGCCGUAGUCCCCAGGCGGCGGACUUAGCGCGUUAGCGACGGCACCGGGAGGGUCGCUCCCCCCGACGCCUAGUGCCCAUCGUUUACAGCGUGGACUAC